UGGAAAGGCGCGCGAUACAGGGUGACAGCCCCGUACACAAAAAUGCACAUGCUGUGAGCUCGAUGAGUAGGGCGGGACACGUGGUAUCCUGUCUGAAUAUGGGGGGACCAUCCUCCAAGGCUAAAUACUCCUGACUGACCGAUAGUGAACCAGUACCGUGAGGGAAAGGCGAAAAGAACCCCGGCGAGGGGAGUGAAAAAGAACCUGAAACCGUGUACGUACAAGCAGUGGGAGCACGCUUAGGCGUGUGACUGCGUACCUUUUGUAUAAUGGGUCAGCGACUUAUAUUCUGUAGCAAGGUUAACCGAAUAGGGGAGCCGAAGGGAAACCGAGUCUUAACUGGGCGUUAAGUUGCAGGGUAUAGACCCGAAACCCGGUGAUCUAGCCAUGGGCAGGUUGAAGGUUGGGUAACACUAACUGGAGGACCGAACCGACUAAUGUUGAAAAAUUAGCGGAUGACUUGUGGCUGGGGGUGAAAGGCCAAUCAAACCGGGAGAUAGCUGGUUCUCCCCGAAAGCUAUUUAGGUAGCGCCUCGUGAAUUCAUCUCCGGGGGUAGAGCACUGUUUCGGCAAGGGGGUCAUCCCGACUUACCAACCCGAUGCAAACUGCGAAUACCGGAGAAUGUUAUCACGGGAGACACACGGCGGGUGCUAACGUCCGUCGUGAAGAGGGAAACAACCCAGACCGCCAGCUAAGGUCCCAAAGUCAUGGUUAAGUGGGAAACGAUGUGGGAAGGCCCAGACAGCCAGGAUGUUGGCUUAGAAGCAGCCAUCAUUUAAAGAAAGCGUAAUAGCUCACUGGUCGAGUCGGCCUGCGCGGAAGAUGUAACGGGGCUAAACCAUGCACCGAAGCUGCGGCAGCGACGCUUAUGCGUUGUUGGGUAGGGGAGCGUUCUGUAAGCCUGCGAAGGUGUGCUGUGAGGCAUGCUGGAGGUAUCAGAAGUGCGAAUGCUGACAUAAGUAACGAUAAAGCGGGUGAAAAGCCCGCUCGCCGGAAGACCAAGGGUUCCUGUCCAACGUUAAUCGGGGCAGGGUGAGUCGACCCCUAAGGCGAGGCCGAAAGGCGUAGUCGAUGGGAAACAGGUUAAUAUUCCUGUACUUGGUGUUACUGCGAAGGGGGGACGGAGAAGGCUAUGUUGGCCGGGCGACGGUUGUCCCGGUUUAAGCGUGUAGGCUGGUUUUCCAGGCAAAUCCGGAAAAUCAAGGCUGAGGCGUGAUGACGAGGCACUACGGUGCUGAAGCAACAAAUGCCCUGCUUCCAGGAAAAGCCUCUAAGCAUCAGGUAACAUCAAAUCGUACCCCAAACCGACACAGGUGGUCAGGUAGAGAAUACCAAGGCGCUUGAGAGAACUCGGGUGAAGGAACUAGGCAAAAUGGUGCCGUAACU
rnacentral:rRNA from 1 species